GCCACUUCGCUGUCACUGCCGCUGGAAAUCCCUCGUUUCGAUGUUUUCUCAUUUCUCGGAUUCAUGAAUAUUUAAAAACAAAUUGUCAUGUCGAAUUGCUCGGGGAAUGAGGAUAAGCAAAAAAGGAAGAGCUGUUGGAGUAAUCUAGUGCAACAUUACGAGAGGAGAAAUGCUUCUUUGGAAAGACGUCACAACGCUCUAGCAGAAAGAGUCAGGAUGAUGGAAUUGGCGCUUCCUUCUCUUCUGAUGGGUGUUGUAGUCAAUCUUAAUCCAUUAUCGGAGGAAAAGACGACAGGUCACAAUAUCGAGAAGAAGGAAAAUCCUCUGACAAACGUCGAUGCAUCCCCUCAACUUCCAAGAGUCGAAAAAAUUUCUGGAGCCAUUGACUGAUCAAUAAAAAAUACAAGCAGCUACAAUGAGCAGUUCUCAUUGGAAUUAUUCAAAUUAUUGAACCAGGGAAAAUGUUAUUUUACCGUUUUGAUGAAAGUGUCAGGGAGCUAAAUAAAAAAGCAAAGAGGAAAAUACAAGAACAGAUUUAGAAUAAAAUACGACAAGAUGGAGUCAAAAUUUGGGGGCUAGACAUUGCUGUGGAUUUUAUCGAAUGCCUCACGCACGAAAACAGAAAAAUUGGAAGUCAGAUCUCUUCAUCUACUAAAAUAUCUGUCAAAUUUGUCUGGGGGACUAGAGAG